AUGGUCGAGGGGUCUGCCUUAGAGAUCUCCAACCUGAAGUUCCUUCUUCUGUGCUUCCAACAAAUGUCGGGCCUCACCAUCAACUUUGAUAAGAGCGAAGUGAUGGUGCUCGGUUACCCCUCUGAGGACGCACAGUCCAUUGCCGACCGGCUUAACUGUCGGCUAGGUUCUUUCCCCACGACCUAUCCGGGGAUCCCCAUUAGUGACUCGCGCCUCACCGUGGCGGACCUCCGCCCCACGGUGACCCGUAUGCAACAUCGCGUAGAGCCCUGGAAAGGGCGUUGGCUAUCGAAGGCGGCGCGCGCGAUCCUUAUCAACUCAUCGCUAGCCAGCCUCCUGUGGUUCCUUAUGAGCUUCUAUAGCCUUCAUGAAACGCUCCAUAAGGAGGUCGCCAAAUACCAGUCCAGAUUCUUCUGGGCUGGGGAGGAGGGCAAGCAGAAAUACCACAUGGUCAGCUGGCCAGACAUCUGCAAACCCAAAGACCAGGGCGGUCUUGGGAUUCUGUCCUCUCGGCGCAUGAACAUCGCCCUCUUGAGCCGCUGGCUCUGGCGCAUCGCCAAUGGGGACGGUGGCCUCUGGCUU
rnacentral:rRNA from 1 species